rnacentral:lncRNA from 1 species
CUGUUCAAAGGAAAUGAAAAGGAGUAAACAAACAAGGGAUGGCAUGAAACAGAAAACAGGAAUGCAUCGCCUCCUGACCAACAAAACAUUUGCGAAUUAAUUCCAAUGUGUCUUUUUAAUUCUUAUAGGUGCAAGAAUAAGUAUUAAUGAUAUGGUUAUCCUAUCAAGUAUCUAGAAUUAUCCAUAGACUAGUAUAAAUGUAAGUGUUGAGAAUAUUGUAAUCCACGUCCAUAAAGACUUAUUCUCAUUUAAGAGUAAUAUAAUAGAAUCUAUGGAGCCCAACGAGAGAAUUAGAACUUUGCAUCAAAAGAAACACAGAAGAGGCCAAGAAAGGCUAGGUGAAGGUUGACAGGUUCUUAUAUAAGAGAUGAGGUGGUACAAGAGAGAUCCCAUAUGAAGAAAAGAAGAGAGAGCUCUAGCUUAAAGAGACGGAAAAUGGACAAGGAGCCAUGAUAGAAGGCAGCAAUCUGAUGAAGAGAUGGCCAAAUACAAAGGUCACUUGAAAAACCAAAUCUUGAAAGAGAGAUGUUUGACUAAUGAAAUGUGGCAAUAAUGACAAGAGGAGAAAAAUGACUAAGAGUAGCCAUGUUAAGACCAAUACAAUUGCUAAAGCAAAGAGAUUGAAGAGAUGCUCAAGAUGAAGAUGUAAGAAAAAGGAAAUUAUGGCAGCAAAGUAGUCUUCUAACCAACUAUAAUGAGACAGUAGCUACAACAAGGCAAUGAUUGUGUGCCAAGGGAAAUGGUAACAAGAAUAAGAAAGUUUGCAUGCAUCGGCAACACAUUUUUUAAUUUCAAGGAUUGUGAGAUUUUUAAAAUUAAGGGGGUGUUGGAAUUAAUUUUGAAGUCUACAUCAAGUGUCCUUUUACUUCUUCAACGAGCAUAUAUAAGUACUAAUGAUAUUGUUAUCCUAUUAAGUAUCUAGAAUUAUCCACACACUAGUAUAAAUAUAUGUGUUGAGUGUAUUGUAAUACAAGUCCAAGUCCAUAGGGACUUCCUCUCAUUUGAGAGUAAUAUAAUAUAAGUUAGAGUUCCCUUCCUACCUUCUCUCCUAAUUUUCUCUAACAACAGUUACUGACAUCAGAGAAACACAUGGCAAGAGAUGUAAAGAGG